ACAGUCUAUGCUGCGAGUGUAUGGUCUCCGCAAACCUAUCUCCUACAACAAAGAGGCGUCAGCCACUUUGCAGGUCAAAAAGGACUUAGAGGCGGCCAGGAAGAAGAUCUUGGAGCUGGAGUAGUCUAUUAAGGACCUCAAAGCUAAGAUGGAGCCUCUAAAGGAGGCGGACAAGGAAGCCGAGGGACUCCGCAAGCAGGUAAAUAAAGGCCGCCUACAGAGUCAAGAGGCUGACCUCACCCAAAAGCUUACGAGCAAGCUAGCGAAGAGAAGAUGGCCCUUGUUCAGGACAUGAUGGACGACUGCAACGCUAUUAUGAAGAUGACCUGGGCGGCCCUCUUCCCUGAAUCCGGCUAUGAAAAAUGGGAGAGCCAAUGCGCCGUCUGUUCUAAUCAAUACAACAAGAAGAUCAUGGAGCAGGCAGACGGCGACGAGGAUGCGGAGGAUGAGGCGUCCGACUCCACCUCCGAGGAGUCGAACCAAGAAGAGAAUGACAAGGAGGAGGAGGAGCCGGCGCAGGAGGAGGCGGAUGGUGAAAAAGAACAGGCGCCGAUUGAGGAACCAAACCAGGCGGCUGUCGAUACUGAACGCCCUCCAACUGCUUGAACUCUCAUCUUUUUAUGUCAACUUUCCUUGGCCUGUGUGCCGCUUGUUUUGUAUCAUUACCCGACCAAGGGGUCGGGGUUUAUUGAUAAUUUUUAAUUUUCAACAUUUAUGUCGGUCAACUGGCCGACUGUUAAUUUUUAAACAUCCGGCUGUUUUUGCCGGUUUUUC